rnacentral:rRNA from 1 species
UACGAAGGGGGCUAGCGUUGUUCGAAAUUACUGGGCGUAAAGCGCACGUAGGCGGAUCCUUAAGUCAGGGGUGAAAUCCCGAGGCUCAACCUCGGAACUGCCUUUGAUACUGGGGAUAUCGAGUCCGGGAGAGGUGAGUGGAACUGCGAGUGUAGAGGUGAAAUUCGUAGAUAUUCGCAAGAACACCAGUGGCGAAGGCGGCUCAUUGGCCCGGUACUGACGCUGAGGUGCGAAAGCGUGGGGAGCAAACAGG